UACGAAGGGUGCAAACGUUGCUCGGAAUUAUUGGGCGUAAAGCGCACGUAGGCGGCUUAGCAAGUCGGAUGUGAAAUCCCUCGGCUCAACCAAGGAAGUGCAUCCGAAACUGCUGAGCUUGAGUACGAAAGAGGAUCGCGGAAUUCCCGGUGUAGAGGUGAAAUUCGUAGAUAUCGGGAGGAACACCAGUGGCGAAGGCGGCGAUCUGGGUCGAUACUGACGCUGAGGUGCGAAAGCGCGGGGAGCAAACAGG
rnacentral:rRNA from 1 species